rnacentral:rRNA from 1 species
UAACAAGGAUUCCCCUAGUAACUGCGAGUGAAGCGGGAAAAGCUCAAAUUUAAAAUCUGGCGGCCUCCGGUCGUCCGAGUUGUAGUCUGGAGAAGCGUUUUCCGCGUCGGACCGUGUAUAAGUUUCCUGGAACGGAGCGUCAUAGAGGGUGAGAAUCCCGUCUUUGACACGGACUGCCGAUGCUUUGUGAUGCGCUCUCGAAGAGUCGAGUUGUUUGGGAAUGCAGCUCAAAAUGGGUGGUGAAUUCCAUCUAAAGCUAAAUAUUGGCGAGAGACCGAUAGCGAACAAGUACCGUGAGGGAAAGAUGAAAAGCACUUUGGAAAGAGAGUUAAACAGUACGUGAAAUUGUUGAAAGGGAAACGAUUGAAGUCAGUCGCGUCCGCCGGGACUCAGCCUUGCAUUCUUGCUCGGUGUACUUUCCGGUGGACGGGCCAGCAUCAAUUUUGACCGUCGGAAAAGGAUCGGGGAAAUGUGGCACCUUUCGGGGUGUGUUAUAGUCCCCGGUCGCAUACGACGGUCGGGAUUGAGGAACUCAGCAUGCCUUUACGGUCGGGGUUCGCCCACGUUCAUGCUUAGGAUGCUG